rnacentral:tRNA from 1 species
GGGUUAUGGUUCAGUGGUAGAGCAUCUGCUUGGCAAACCCAAGGUCCCAGGUUCAGUCCCUGGCAUCUCCU